rnacentral:tRNA from 1 species
UCCCUGGUGGCUCAGUGGUAAAGCAUCUGCCUGCUAAUGCAGGAGACACAGGUUUGAUUCCUAAUCCAGGAA